GUGCCAGCAGCCGCGGUAAGACGGAGGAGGCAAGCGUUGUCCGGAAUCAUUGGGCGUAAAGAGCGCGUAGGCGGUUUUUCAAGUCGUAUGUGAAAACUUCAGGCUUAACCUGAUGAUUGCAUAUGAAACUGGAUAACUUGAGUACAGCAGAGGAAAGUGGAAUUCCUGGUGUAGCGGUGAAAUGUGCAGAUAUCAGGAAGAACACCAGUAGCGAAGGCGGCUUUCUGGGCUGUUACUGACGCUGAGGCGCGAAAGCUAGGGGAGCGAACAGGAUUAGAUACCCUGGUAGUCCUAGCCGUAAACGAUGGACACUAGGCGUGGGAAGUUAUCGACGCUUUCUGUGCCGAAGCUAACGCAUUAAGUGUCCCGCCUGGGGAGUACGGCCGCAAGGCUAAAACUUAAAUGAAUUGACGGGG
rnacentral:rRNA from 1 species